AAAUCUGGACUUCCCAGCCUCCAGAACUAUGGAAAAUAAAUGUCUGUUGUUUAAACCAGUCAGCCUAUGGUAUUUUUGUCACAGCAGCUCAAAUGAACUAAGACAUAUGACAAAGCCUGGGAGGUGGGCUAGAAGUAGAUAGUAGACACUGAGGAGGAGAGAGCUUCCCAGAGAACUUGAAAGAAGUCUGUGUGAUCCUUUCUUCAUCACUAGGCACCUUUUCUCUAUUGUCCUUCUGACUUGUUCACUAAUUUAGGGUCCAGAUCUAAACACCUCUGGACAGACUACAGUAAGCUACCUUUUUUUAAUGCUUAUUUAUUUUUGAGAGAGAUACAGAAAGAGAGGGAGAGAUCUUGAGUGGGGAAGAGGCAGAGAAAGAGAGAGAGAGAUACAGAAUCAGAAGCAGGCUCAAGGCUCUGAGCUGUCACCUGAGCAGGGCUCAAACUCAUGAGCUGUGAGAUCAUGACCCAAGCUAAAGUUGGUUGCUCAACAAACUGAGCCACCCAGGCCCCCCAGUAAGCUAACAUUUUUGAGCAAUUACUAUCUGCCCAGCCUUGUUCUAAGUGCUUGUCAUACAAUCUACACAAUAAUUCUAAAAACAGGUAUUAUGUAACCUCCCCCUUCCCCACUCCAUGAAUGAACUAUGCCCAAAGUAACGCAGCUUAUAAGAAAUAGAGCCAGAGAAACAAAAUAAAUAACAAUUAUUGAUAGCUCAUUAUGUAUUAGGGCUUUAUAUACAGUAUUUCAUUAUUUCUCACACAAUCCUAUGAAACACAUACUUCUAUUAUUUCCAUUGUACAAAUGUACAAAAUUGGACUUGAAAUGGUUUUGUAACUUACCCAUACCUACACAGCUAAUAAGUGACAGGGCCAGCGUAGGGAUGCAGGAUUCCAAGUUCCUUCCAUUUACCCAGUCCUCUGUCCUCAUCACACACAGGUUCCAGGAUCAUAAAAAGGCUAACAUUUAUGGAAUCCCUAUUACAUGUUAGGUAUGCUCCUAAAUACCUAUAUUAACUCAGUUGAUCCUCCAUGAGCUGGGUAUAAUUACUGUUACUAUUACUGAUGCCAUUUUGCAUUUGAAGAAAUUGAGGCAAACCAAUUUUCUCAGACACAUGAUGAAAAAAUGUCUACACUUAGGCUUGGACCCAACAGCUUAUCUUCAGACUCCAUGCUCUGAACUAUUGCAUCAUUAUGCUGCUUAUGAAUGUUCAUAUGACUAAAUUUAAAUAGCACUUAUUUAGAAAUCAUAUUCAUAUACCCACUAGAAGUUAACCCUAAGUCCAAAGCAUUUUAUCAUAUUCCAGGUAAGUUUUAUGCAAAAAUAGCAUAGCUUCCCCAUUUCCUAUAUUUCCAUGGUAAAGCUGGGGUGGAGAGGACUUCAAAAAAUUUAAAGGGCCAGACACUUAUUUAGAGACAAGACAGGAGAAGCUGGAAUAUUGACACCUUUUGUCUACAGGAAGCUUGGGAAGACAUUCCUGCUUCAGCACCCCUCCUGGCCGAGGAUGAGGAAGGGUUGGAGAAGUGUGUCCAGCUGGAGAAGUGAGAGUGAGGCACUGAGCUGUGAAGAAACUGCUAGAUGGAGUUAAUCCUGGUAGGAAGUUCUUUGGAAUCCCACCCCAAAGAGAUGGAGCAGGUAGUGAGACAUCUUCAGCUAACUUCCCUUUCAGGGAGAUAGCAGGGAGAUGGAAACUCCAGGACUUUCCUUCCAAUAUAGCACCCUGGACCUCAAUCUUCUACUUGUGUCCUUUCAUCUUUGGUCACACCUCACUUAGAACCUGCUCCCUGGCAGCAAAAGGCAGAAGUCAUUAUGUAUUUGCACUGUGUAUCAUUAUUAUUAUUUUGUUAAUUAGCUGAAUUGAUAGAGCACUGAAUUAAACCAAAUUAACAACUUUUUCCAUGGGUAUGCCCCAUCUGUAAUAGUUACACUCUUUUAAAGUAUUAUCAACUAAUCCCUAGAGAAACUGGGAUGGAGGGAGGAGAAUAUUUAUUUAUUGGUUGAUUUAUUGAUUGAUUGAUUUAAUAUUAUUUAUUUCAUCUCCAUUUAGAAAAGGUAUGUGCUGUGUACUUUAUUUCUAACUCUCAGCAGGUUUCACAUGAUCAUGGCUUACAGAAGUGGUGAAAAUAUGUUAAUUAACAAGGUUGUAACUCCCUAGCUGUGCUCUUAGUGUGAUUCAUGCUGUAUAUUAGUGGGAGGUGGGGGGAGAAGGUUAAAUGAUAUGCAAUGUUUUACACUGCAUAAUAAUUGUUACAUUUUGACAUGAAAUCAAACAUACCAAUACUAGAAAAGGAGUGCCCCAAAUGCCCGCUCAAAGAGCCAGUGGUGUUUUUGAGGAAUUUUAAGCUCCCUGGAUUAUAGGAUGCCAUGAAUAAGAGGAUGAAUGGUAGGUAGGUUGGCUGGGGAAGUUUGACCCAAAAAUCUGGUGCAACAUUCCACAAAAAUAGGAUAGUUAUUAACGAGUGGCAACAGUGGGGAAAUGAUUACUGUGGGUUUGAAACAAAAAAUUAGUAAAUUAUAACACUAAAUGGAGAGGCCUGUGGCAGGUCUUGGAAGUGAGUUUAGAAUUCUGCAGAACUGAGCUGUGGUUGCAAGUGAGAAACAGGCUGGUGGGCCCCCAUGGCACUUGACUCUGCCUGGCCCUGGGUGCUUCAGGGAGAAGAAGCCUGCAGUGCAGCCUAGAAUCUUUCCUGCCAGUACAGUAUACCAAGAGCCUUGCCCCCUUUCUUCUCUUGCCUUCAGAGCCACCUCUGCAGCAAACCCCAGGCUGAGAAGUGCUCUGGGGACCUGGGCUCCACCACUGGGUUGCACCAGCAAGGAGGGUGCAGCUUCCUUGGUGAACUCGGUUGAGGCGGGGGGAAAGAAGGGGCACCCUGGCUGUGUUUGAAGAUGUGUGGUCCACAACAUAUACCACUUACUUGAUUGUUUCCUGGUACCUGAAAACAGUAAAGAUCUACAUGUUACGUGAAAAUGUACCGUAUUGAAAAAUAAAAACACAACCCACAAAUUGCACAAAAAUUCGUAUAAGCAUGAUUGUUUUACAAAAGGAGGCAAGAACGCAUUAGAAACGGGGUGUUAUAUGAUUGAAACAGUCUGCAACGCAUAAAUGUUUCUAACACUCUCCCAGAAUCCCUGCCUGGUUUGUUUAGAAUCCAGAUGGUCCGCAUUGUGUAUUUUCAUGUAACUAGCCAUCCUAGCUGCUUGGGAAUCCUGUGAUGAAGGUCACUAAACCGACUGCUGGCUUCACAAUAGACAAAUGACAGAAAAUUAGGCAUGAACAGAUGACAGAAUCUCCUUCCUUUCCAUACUAAAUGUCUUGAAUGUGAAGACUUGGUAUCAAUUUUAAGAGGAAAGUUUUUUGUUGGAGGAGAGCUAGGAUUAAAGCUAAAUCCUCUAAGUCUCCAAAUCCCAGGCUCUUUCUACCACCUGACAGUGUCUACUAAUAACAAUAUGCAAUCUCGAGGAUCAAGGACUUGUGAUUUCCACAUGAACCAGGUUAACAAUAACAGAGCUGGAGUAAGCACAUUCAAGUGAAUUGAGAUGGACUGGAACUCCUUCACUUGUUUAAAGUGAGUUUGUAGUCUUUUUGGACUGUUUGGUCUUGGAAUAAAAGGCUGGAUUUACUCUUGGGGAGCAGCUUAUAAUAUUCUGUGGCUGGAGAAAUUAGGUGGAUAUCAAAAUGGAAGACCCUUUACUGAAAAAAAGAACCUGGUUAAAAAAAGUAUUAGUACUUCUCCUGUUUUCAAUCCAGCACCCUUAGUUCAGACAAUUUUUUUUAGACAUUCCAGUUCAGCACAGUAUCUUUUCAUCCAGUUCUUAUCACUAUCCAGUAGGAGAAGAAAGAAGAAAAGAUUAAUAAAGAAAUAAUGCAUAUGUGACACAUAUUCUCUCUCACCCAUUUUAUCAGUCUUAAAUAAUUUAGGGCAGGAAAACUUUCAUAGGAUUUUCUAAUUCACAAAUGCUCUAAAACACACACCUCAAGAAUGUGCUAGAUUUGCUGUGCAGUCUCUUGCCCCUAUGAUGUAUAAUUUAAAUGAGGACUGUACUUGGUAAGGGAGUAGAGUGAAUGUGCUAUAAGCCAGCUAUUGAUACUUCGCAAAUAGCCACUCUCUGCUUAUUAAAAGAUGAUGAGGCAAACCAGUAUCUUAUAGGAGCCAGAUCUGGUGGGAAAGUAAAUUGAUUCUCUUCCUUCACUUGGAUGGAAGCAAAGGAGUUCUCUUGCAUUCAUCCGAGAAAUAAGACUUUCUUAAUACAAAGAGGAUAUUCUAAUUCAAAACUUUAAAACAAAUAAGAUAGACAAAUGAGCAUUGGACAAAUAAAACAACCCUUGAAAUCUGGUGUAGCCCAAAUGGCACUGCACUUAGGCCCCAAAAUCUAUCCCAGAUAUGUCACUUACUAGUUUUGUGUCCUUUGGCAAUGUAAUCACGUUAAGCCUCAAACUGUACAAUCCUAACACAGAAUGGGAGGUGCAUCCAAACUCUACCUCCAUUACUAUUUUGUUAGGAGGAUAAAAUGAGAUAAUGCACAUGAAAUCACUUUGUAAAGCCUUGAGCACUGUGCUGAUGUAAGACAUUAUUUUUGUACUGAUACCUAUUAUGAGAAAAAUAAAAGAUUAAUUCAAGAUUAUGCUGCAUGGUUAUGAAAAACUGUGUACUUUACAAUAUCCAGUUAUUUUUAAGGAUCCCCAUUGCCAUAGGCAUGAACAUUUAAUCAGUCACUGGAAGAAAAAAAAACCACCCCCAAAGAGCUUUGCCUAAGAAAAGCUGAUAAAACAGAGUCAUGCCAUGUUUCCAUCUUAAUCUUCCUUCAGCAUCCUCCCACCCUUCCUGGCUGCAUACUUUGCAUACUUAGAAUUUUAGGCCGUUGAUUAUGUGUGCAAAUAUAUAUAUAUUUGAAUGGCAAUGGUGCAACAGAAAUAGAUGCCAUUAUCAUGGUGGGUAAAAAUCUAGCUUCAGGGGCAGUAUCUGCAGUCAAAUGUGCAGCUAACCCAGUAAAGCUUGGUUGCUCUGUUAUAGAAAAGGCAUGCUGAAUCUGCAUGUGAGUAAAGAACAUUCUCUCCCUUAGGACGUUAUAACUUCUGCUGAUACACCUCACUGGUUUUAUCAUUCAGAUAAAAUCUUUAAAACAGAAGAAUAUAGGAAAUCAUUGGUAGAAAGAUAGAUAACAUGGAGUUACCAUAAAAGAGGCUUAAUUUUGUAGCUAUUUCACAUUAUUGCUAAUGUAGGCAUGAAACAGAGACACAGAUUUUUCUGCUUACUUAGCAAUGUCCUAUUUUUCUUUGCUAUUCUUAAAGACUGAAUGAGGACACCUUUUUACAUCAUUCUUCCAGAUUCUAAAAAUAGAAGGGAAAAGUAAUGUGAUAGUGAUAAUAUAAAAAUAGCUACCAUUUAAUGAGUGUCUACUCUGGACGAGGCAGUUCAUACAUAUUGUCUUAUUAUAUUAUUAGCCUUUGGGAUUAUUACAGGUAGAUAUCAUAAUUUUCACUUACAUAUAAGGAAACUAAGUCUCAGAAAGGUUACAUAUUUGUUCACAUAAUACAACUAGUAAGUAGCAAAGUGGCAAACAGAUUUUAUGGAAUGACUCUCCAUUUGCUAGUAAAAUCUGUUAACUAGGUUGUAGGGCAUUUGCGAAAUGGGAACACUGCUUUCAUCAGAGAGGGUGGCCACCUAUACCUCCAAUAAUAUAUCCUCCUUAUAAGUAGCAUUCCAGAGAAAAGGCCACACCCCUAUUUCCAAAUAGAUGCUAUCUUCACUAGAAUUAUAUACCCACAAUUGGACCCAUCUCUGUGUCUAGGAGGAGAAAAUACUCUAAUGAGCUCAUGUCAUCCGUCUACCACAUGUGGGAAAAGAAGGACAACAUGGUUGACAUCUUCAUGCUCUUGUCCAAAAGAAGGAAUAUAGGGCAGGAAAAAAGAAGUGUCAAAUAUUUUACAGCAAUUACCUAAAUAUUUGUCACUAUUUCCUAAUAGCUUUUCUGACAUUUGCCUCUCUGAUCCCCAAAGCAGACUGUAGAAAAAAUAAAAACAUAAUUGAAGAAUAACUUCUGCUAGCUAUGUUGAGAUUACUUGAACUUCCGACUGCUCCUUCUUGUAGUUUCCUAGAGCAAAUCAGUUGGAUCUUCAGUGCUUUUAACAUGGAGGAGGAAAAUCCUCUUCUUCCCUUGUCCCUGCCUCUUUGCUUGAAUGAGCCACUGGCUGAUUAGAGAAGACAACCACUUUCUUAUAGCUUAAAGCAAUAAGUAGUUUUAGUAGUUUUCUCAUCUCUUCAAAAUGUGCAAAGAAAAGAAAUGACCCUAGAAACAAAGCAGUCAUCAAUACGCAUAAUAGCUAUAUUUAUGAUACUGAAAACCUAGACAAAAGUUUUGACAAAGAAAUGUAAUGGUAUUUCUCAGUGUCAGCAAACUUUAGCUUGAGUACAAUAUUGGGAAUUUGGUACAUUUCAAUGAUUUAUGGGCACUAAGAUAUUGGUAGUUUAUAGGAUACCAUGAAAUGCAUUCCUCUCCUUAAAAACUGGGAUUCUAAAAUCACUCUCAACAGAAAACAGAGAUAUACAAAAUCACCUUAAUACUAGCUCCUGGUAUGCCAGCACUGGCCGUUACAUAUUAAAAGAUUUUUCUCUAUAUAAAGGAAAAAUAUGUCAGAAAGGAAAUGAUCAGCUAUGGAAGCAAAACUAGGAAGGAAAACUUUAGCAUUAUAUAUUUAAGAGGUUUCUGGGUAAUGGGUAUCCUUGAAUAGAUAAUCUGACCUAUUGCAUUUUCAAUUGUUGAGAUGAUGUUCACACAGUGGAAGGACCAUGGGCUUCACAGUCAGAUAAACCAUUCAUUAUACAAAUAUUUACUUAGUACCUCCUGUGUCCCCAGUAGUUCUAGACACUUAUGGUAUGUCAAUGAACAAGACAACAAAGAUCCCUGCACAAUGUCACAGACAGGGCAAUAGUCAUUAAACACAGUAAAUAAGUAAAUUGUAUAGUGUUGUUAGAAACCAAAUAACUGCUAUGAAAAAGAAAACAUAAAACAAGAUAUAAGGAAUUGAGGGGGCUCUGGAGGAAGGAUAGGGUGUGAUAUUAAUUUGCUAGUCAGGGAAUCCUCACUGAGAAGGGAUAUUUGAGCAAUGAAUUGAAGGUGAUGAGGGAUUUUCCAAGUGGAUAUCUGGGCGUGGGGGUGGACGGUGGUUGGGGAAACAUGCCAUGCAAAGGGAACAGUGAGAGCAAUUGCCUGAAGAUAGAAACAUUCCUGGCACAUCUAAGGAAUUCCAAGGAAGCCAGUAUAGCAGGAGUUAAGUGAAGACAAGGGGAAGUAAAAAGAGAGAAAGUCAAAAGGAGAUCACUGUAGGCCACUGUAAAGACAACUGGAACACUUCAAGUGUGAGAUGAUGGUGGCAGGGUCUGGGGUUGGUAGCAAUGAAGGUGGUAAGAAAUCAUACUUUGGAUAUAUUUUGAAGGUGGAACAAAUAAGAUUCAUUGAAAGACUGGGUGUGGAGUGUGAGAAGGAUAGCUGUCAAGAACACUGCAAGGCUUUUGGCCUGAACAACUGAAUGCAAACCCUGGCACCAUCCCCUACUGGUCAUGUCUCCUUUGGUAAUUUAUUUCUCAGUAUCCUCUUUCAUAAAAUGGGGCUCAAAUGGUAUCUUCUAAGCAGGAUGGUUAUGAAACUAUUAAGUGAGAUACCGUUUGCAAAGCAUCUUGUACAUGGUACACAUCAAACAAGUGGCCAUUACAAGCCAUUUCCUUCCUUUCUUUCUUUCUUUCUUUCUUUCUUUCUUUCUUUCUUUCUCUUUCUCUCUCUCUCUCUUUCUUUCUUUCUCUUUCUUUCUUUCUUUCUCUUUCUUUUCUUUUCUUUUCUUUUCUUUUCUUUUCUUUUCUUUUCUUUUCUUUCUCUUAAUUCCACUGUAGGUAACAUACAGUGUUAUAUUUGUUUGAGUGUACAAUAGUCAUUUAAUAAUUCCAUAUAUUACUCAAGGCUCAUGAAGAUAAGUAUACUCUUGAUCCCCUUCACCCAUGUUUUACCAUUCCCCCACUGACCUUCUCUCUGGUAACCAUCUGUUCUCUACACUUAAGAGUCUGUUUUUUGGUUUGUCUUCCCCGCCCCCCCCGUUCAUUUGUUUUGUUUCUUAAAUUCCACAUACGAGUGAAAUCAUAUGGUAUUUGUCUUUCUCUGACUGGCUUAUUUCACUUAGCAUUAUACUCUCUAGAUUCAUCCACGUUGUUGCAAAUGGCAGGAUUUGAUUCUUUUUUAUGGCUAAGAAAUAUUCCUGUGUGUGUGUGUUUGCAUGUACACACACACACACAUAUACAUAUAUUAUACAGACACACACAUAUAUACAUAUGUAUACUGCUUCUUUAUCUGUUCAUCUAUUGAUGAACACUUAGGUUGUUUCCAUGAUUUGGUUAUUGUAAAUAAUAUUGCAAUAAACAUAGGGGUACAUGCAUCCUUUCAAAUUAGUGUUUUUGUAUUCUUUGGAUAAAUAACUUAUUUGGGAUUGAAGGCUAUUUCUAUUUUUAAUUUUUUGAGGAGCUCUCCAUAUUGUCUUCCAUAGUGGCUGCAGCAGUUUGCAUUCCUACCAACUGUGGAUGAAGGUUCCUAUUUUUUGCAUGUAGCUGCCCAGUUUUCCCAGCAACAUUUGUUGAAGAGACUUCUCCUAUUGCAUAUUCUUACCAUCUUUGUUGAAGAUUAAUUGACCGUAUAAUCAUGAAUUUAUUUCUGGGUUUUAUAUUCUGUUCUAUUGAUCUAUAGAUCUAUUUUUAUUGCCAGUACCAUACCAUUUUGAUUACUACGGCUCUGUAUUAUAACUUAAAGUCUGAAAAAAAUAAGUUAAAGUCUAGAAUUGUGAUGCCUCCAGUUUUGUUUUUCAUCUUCAAAAUUGCUUUGGCUACUUGGGGUCUUUUGUGCUUCCAUACAAAUUUUAGGAUUAUUUACUAUAGAUCUUUGAAAAAUGCUGUUGGGGGCACAUGGGUGGCUCAGUCAGUUAAACGUCCGACUUUGGCUCAGGUCAUGACCUCACGGUUUGUGAGUUCCAGCCCCGCGUCGUGCUCUGUGCUCACAACUCGGAGCCUGGAGCCUGCUUUGGAUUCUGUGUCUCCCUCUUUCUCUCUCUCUGCCCCGCCCCUGCUCAUGCUCUUUCUCUAUAUCUCAAGAAAAUAAAUAAACAUUAAAAAAUUUGAAAAAUGCUGCUGGUAUUUUGAUAGGAAUUGCAUUAAAUUUAUAGAUUGCUAUGGGUAGUAUAACAUUUUAACAAUAUUUGUUCUUCCAACCCAUGAGCAUGGAAUGUCUUUUAAUUUCUUUGUAUCAUUUUCAAUUUCUCUCAUCAGAGUUUUCUGGUUUUCAGAAUACAGGUUGUUCACCUCUUUGCAUAAAUUUCUUAUGUAUUUUAUUAUUUUGGUGCAAUUAUAAAUGGGACUGUUUUCUUAAUUUCUUUUUCUGAUUCUUCAUCAUUAGUGUAUAGAAAUGCAAUGAAUUUCUGUUUAUUGAUUUUGUAUCCUGCUAUCCUACUGAAUUAAUGUAUCAGUCCUAGUAAUUUUUUGGUGGAGUCUUUCAGGUUUUCUGUAUAUACUAUUUUGUCAUCUGUACAAGUGAAAGUUUUGCUUCUUUCUUACAAACUUGGAUGCAUUUUAUUUCUUUUUGUUGUCUGAUUGCUGUGUCUAGGAGUUCUAGUACUAUGUUGAAUAAAAGUGUUGGGAGUUGACAUCUUUGUCUUGUUCUUGACCUUAUGGGAAAAGCUCUCAAUUGUUCACCAUUGAGUAUGAUGUUAGCUAUGAGUUUUGCAUAUCUAGCCUUUAUUAUGUUGAGGUAUGUUCCCUCUAAACAAAUUGGUUGAGGGUUUUUUUAUCAUGAAUGGAUGUUGUACUUUGUCAAGUGCUUUUUCCGCAUCUAUUGAAAUGAUCAUGUUUUUUAUCCUUCCUCCUAUUGAUGUUAUGUAUCACAUUGAUUUGUGAAUACUGAACCACCCUUGCAUCCUGGGAAUAAAUCCCACUGAAACAUAGUAGAUGAUUUUUUAAAUGUGCUGUUGGGUUCAGUUUGCCAAUAUUUUGCUGAGGAUUUUUGCAUCUAUGUUCAUUAGAGAUACUGACCUGUAGUUCUCUUUUUCUGUGGUAUCUUUAUCUGAUGUUGAUAUCAGGGUAACGCUGGCCUCAUAGAUUGAAUUUGGAAGCUCUCCUUCCUCCUUUAUUUUUUGGAAUAGUUUGAAAAGAAUAAGUAUUAACUCUUCUUUCAGCAUGUGUUAGAAUUCCCUUGUGAAGCUAUCUAGUCCUGGACUUCUGUUUUUUGAGUUUUUUGAUUACUGAUUAAAUUUCAUUGCUGGUAAUUACUCUCUUCAAGUUUUCUUUUUCUUCCUGAUUCAGUUUUGGAGGCUGUAUAUUUCUAGGAAUUUAUCCAUUUCUUCUCCAAUUUGUUGGCAUAUACUUUUUCUUAUGAUAUUCUCUUACAAUUGUUCAUAUUUCUGUGGUGCCAGUUGUUAUUUCUCCUCUUUCAUUCGUUAUUGUGUUUAUUUUGAGUCCUCUCUUUCUUUGUUUUUAAAAGUCUGUAUAGAGGUUUAUGAGGACAGGAAAAAAAAAAGAGGGAAGCAAACCAUAAGAGUCUUUUAACUAUAGAGAACUGAGGGUUGAUGGAGGGAGGUGGGCAGAGGAUGGGCUAAAUGGGUGAUAGGUAUUAAGGGGGGCACUUGUGAUGAGCACUGGGUGUUACAUGUAAGUGAUGAAUCACUAAAUUCUACACCUGAAUGAAUUUUACCAUAUAUAUUAACUAACUAGAAUUUAAAUUAAAAAUGAAGUGGAAAAGAAAAGAAAGAGUCUGGGUAGAGAUUUAUCAACUUUGUUGAUCUUUUCAAAGAACCAGCUUCUGGUUUCAUUGAUAUUCUAUUAUUUUUUUAGUUUCUAUAUCAUUUAUUUCUGCUCAAAUCUUUAUGGUUUCCAAAGUUCUGCUGGUUUGGGGUUCUGUUUGUUCUUUUUUCUUUUUAACUCCUUUAGGAGUCUAAGGUUAGGUUGUUUACUUGAGAUUUUUCUUGCUUCUUGAAUGAGACCUAUAUUGCUGUAAACUCUCUUAGAAUCACUUUUGCUCCAUUACAUACAUUUUGGACCAUUGUGUUUUCAUUUUCAUUUUUCUGUAUGUAUUUUUAUUUCCUCUUUGAUUUUUUGGUUGACCUAUUCAUUGCUUAGUAGCAUGUUAUUUAACCUCAAUGUAUUUUUUAUCUUUCCAGAUUUUUUCUUGUAAUUGACUCCUAGUUUCAUAGUGUGUGGUCAAAAAAUGCAUGGUAUGACUUGAUCUUUCUGAAUUUGUGAGACUUGUUUUGCGGCCUAAUAUGUAAUCUAUUCUGGAAAAUGUUCUAUGUGCACUUGAACAGAAUAUGUAUUCCUGUAUUUUAGGAUGGAAUGUUCUGAAUGUAUCUGUUAGAUCCAUCUGGUCCAGUGCAUCUCUCAAAGCCACUGUUACCUUGUUCAUUUUCUGUUUGGAUGAUCUGUCCAUUGAUGUGAGUGGGGUGUUAAAGUCUCCUAUUAUUGUUUUACUAUCAAUUACUUCCUUUAUGUUUGUGAUUAGCUGCUUUAUAUAUUUGGGUGCUUUCAUGUUGGGUGCAUAAAUGUUUACAACUGUUAUAUCUUUUUGUUGGGUUUUGUCUCCUUUAUUAUUAUAUAGUGUCCUUCUUGUCUCUUGUUACAGUCUUGUUUUAAAGUAUACUUUGUCCUGGGAUGCCUGGGUGGCUCAGUUGGUUAAACAUCCAACUUUGGCUCAGGUCAUGAUCUCAUGGUUUGUGGUUUUGAGCCCUGCAUCGGGCUCUGUGCUGACAGUUCAGAGCCUGGAGCCUGCUUUGGAUUCUGCAUCUCCCUUUCUCUCUGCCCCUCCCAAGCUCACCCUCUGUCUCUUUCUGUCUCUCAAAAAUAAAUAAAAAUGUUUAAAAUUUUUUUAAAAAAGUAUAUUUUGUCCAAAAUAAAUAUUGCUACUUCAGCUUUUUUUUUUGACAUCUGUUUGCAUGAUAAAUUUUUCUCCAUCCUCUCAUUUUCAAUCUUCAUGUGUCUUUAGGUCUGAUAUAGGUCUCUUGUAGGCAGUAUAUAGAUGGGUCUUACUUUUUUAUCCAUUCUCUCACCCUAUGUCUUUUGAUUGGAACAUUUAAUUCAUUUAUAUUCAGAGUAAUUAUUGAUAGCUAUGCAUUUAUUGCCAUUUUGUUACUUGUGAUUGUAUUUGUAGUUUUUCUCCGAUCCUUUCUUCUCUUGCUCUCUUUCACCAUUUGCUGACUUUCUUUUGUGAUAUACUUAGAUUCCUUUCUCUUUAUUCUUUGCAUAUGUUGCAAAGAAUAUUGCAUAUCCUUUGUUGGUGAUUAUCAUUAGGUUUAUAUAUAACAGAUUAUACAUGUAGCAGUCUAUAUUAAAUCAAUGGUCACUUAAGUUUGAACCCAUUCUUUACUCUUCCCUUCUCCACAUUUUAGGUAUAUGGUGUCACCAUCUACAUCCUUUUAUUUUGUGAAUCCAUUGACAGAUUUUUAUAGAUAUUUUUAUUUUUACUGUUUUUAUGUUUCCUAUUUUUCAUACUCUUACUCAUGAUCUUUCCUUUUCACUCAAAGAGUUGCCUUUAACAUUUCUUGUAGCACUGGUUUAGUGGUCAUGAAUUCCUUUAACUUUUGUUUGUCUGAGAAACUCUUUAUCUCUCCUUCUAUUCUGAAUUAUAGCCUUGCUGGACAGAGUAUUCUUGGCUGCAGAUUUUUUCCUUUCUGCACUUUGAAUAUAUCAUGCUACUACCUUUUGGCCUGCAAAUUUUCUAAUGAGAAAUCAGCUGACAGUUUUAUGUGGUUUCCCCUGUAUGUAACUGUCUUUCUCUUACUACUUUAAAAAUUAUCUCUUUAUCACUACUUUUUACCAUUUUAAUUACUAUGUGUUUUGGUGUGGACCCCCUUGUGUUGAUUUUGUUGAGAGCUUUCUGUACCUUCUGGAUUGGGUUAUCUGCUUCUUUCCCCAGAUUUGGGAAGCUUUCAGCUUUUAUUACUUCAAAUAAGUUUCCUACACCCUUUUCUUUCUCUUCCACUUCUGGGAUCGCUAUAAUCCAAAUGUUGUUAUGCUUGAUGGAGUUGUUGAGUUUCCUAAAUCUAUUCUGAUUAUGCAUAAUUUUUUUUCUCUCACCUGCUCAGCUUGAUCAUUUUCCAUUACUCUGUCUUCCAGGUUGCUAAUUUGUUCCUCUGCUUCCUCUACCCUGUUAUGUAUUCCAUCUAGUGUAUUUUUACAUUCAAUUAUUUUGCUCUUUAUCCCUGAUUGGCUCUUUAUUAUUUCUUUUUAAAGGAUCUCACUGAUGUCCUCCAUUCUUUUCUCAAGUCCAGUGAAUACCUUUAUGACCAUUAAUUUAUUUCUUAAGUGUUUAUUAAUUUAUUUUGAGAGAGAAAGAGAGAGAGAGAGAGAGAGAACAUGCAAGUGGCAGAGGGGCAGAGACAGAGGCAGAGAAAGAAUCCCAAGCAGACUCUGCACUGUUAGCGCAGAGGCUAAUGUAGGGCUCCAUCUGAUUAACCAUGAGAUUGUGACCUGAGCCAAAAUCAAGAGUUGGAUGCUUAACUGACUGAGCCAGUAAGCACCCCAACUUUAAAUUCUCUAUCAGCCACAUUAUUUAUAUCCAAGAUACUUAGAUCUCUUUUUGUGGUUCCUGUUCUUUCAUUUGGGACAUAUUCCUCUCUUUCCUCAUUUUGUCUAACUUUUAAAAAAAUCUAUUUCUGUGUAUUAGGAAAGUCAACCACAUCUCCUGCUCUUGAAAGUAAUGGCUUUAUGAAGAAGAGGUCUUGUAGUGCCCUGCUGUGCAGUGUCCCCUGAUCCCCAGAACCUGGUGUUUCAGGGGAUGUCUGCUAUGCGUGUUGUAUGUGCCAGCAUCUUUUUCCUUCAGUCCGGUUGUCUGCAGAGAUUCUCUUUGCCUGUUGUGGGCAGUGUUUGGUCUCCAGCCACAGUGGGGCACAUGGUUUUAACAAGGUGCCCACUGGUCUGCUUCUGAAAUGAGACCUGCCACUGCCACUGCCUCCAGGACCAUGGCCAUGUGGGGCAUGCAAUUUUAACAAAGUGUGCCUCAGGCUUCUGCAGUGCCUGGCACCACUGCUGCCUCCAGGACCAAGGCCCCACAAAACGUGUGUGUGGGUAGAUGCCAUGUUGGCAAGGUUUAUGCAGGUCUUCUGAGGAGGGGAUCCACAGUGCAGGGACUGAGGCAAGCAUGACUGGAAAUGGCACAUCUGUCAAUGCUGGGUGUGUAGAGGGAUGAGGCUUGGUAUAAGCAGUUCAAUAGUGAACGCCUGCACUGUGCUGGUUCCCACAGGUGGCUGUGUGUUUAUGCUGGGGGUCAGGAGGGAAAUGGUGCCUGCCAGCUCCUUAGAGGAAUCUCUCUCUGAGCAUGCUGGGAGUGAGUAAAUGGCUCUCCCUCGAAUAUGCUGGAGGCAUUUUUUCAAACCCCUGCUUCUAUAGUUUAUCUCUGUAGGCUGUUUGCUGUGCUCUUGAAGGGCAGGACUCAGCUUCCUAUUACCCUCUGGGCUUUCCCAGAGUUAAGCCUGCAGAUUCCAGGCUACAUGUCCCUCUGGUUGUAAGAAUUCACAAUAUUCGACCCCUCAUCUCUUCAAAGUCACACUGGGAGCUCCCCAGUGUGAUAAUAUGUUUCUUGCCCUUCUCCAGGCCUGCAGCUCCCUCCCACUCCCUACCUACCCUUCCUACCCUCUUCCAUGUGACAUCUUCUCUACCUGUAGUUGUGGAAUUUGUUCUACAAGUCUUUGUGUCUUUUUCUGAUUAUUUAUGCGGACAUGAAUGCUAUCUAUUUGUAUCCAUGGAACGAGGUUAAUUUAGUGUCCUCUUACUCUGCCAUCUUCCUAGCCUAUCUAGGUAUGCAUUUAUAUUUUGUAUAAGUAGGAAGUGAGUGAGCCAAAUAGACAUGGGAAAUUCAGGCACAGGACCAAGAAUUUCUAGUGCUGGUGAGUAUACUGAACAACCAGGUAGAAUGGAGUUUUGCAUGUAUCAGAAGGGGGGUUGUCAUGUAACUACCCAAGAAUAAACCUUGGUGGUAUUAAGGUAAUGGAUUAACUAACAAGACAUAUAUAAAUCAAUAAUAGGAAAAACUCUAUGCCUUAUAUUGUGGAAGAUGAGACUUCAAUGAUGCCUCUAAUAAUAUGACAUAAUAUAUAUGUGAUUUUCUGAUAAUGCUAACAGACCAGGUCUAUACAGCAUGAUGAGAUAAAUUAUAAUGAGAUGAGUUGCAUUGAUCAUGCAAGAAUUCAAAAUACAUAGAAAGGAGUCAAGAUGCCAGGUUACAAAAAAAUGUAGGUGAAAGCAUGAACUUAAAAAGUCUUAGUAACAUAGGGCACCUGGGUGGCUCAAUCGGUCAGGCUUCUAACUUCAGCUUCAGUCAUGAUCUUGCAGUUCAUGAGUUCCAGCCUGGCGUUGGGCUGUGUUGACAGUACAGAUCCUAGAGCCUGUUUCAGAUUCUGUGUCUCCCUCUCUAGGCCCCUCCCCCUGCUCUCUCUCUCAGUCUCUCCCUCUCAAAAGUAAAUAAACAUGAAAAAAUAUUUUUUUUAAUGUCUUAGUCACCUAGAGAGAGAAGGAAGAUGGCGGCAGAGAAGGAUGCUGGGCUCACCACGUCCUGCUGACCACUUAGAUUCCACCCACAUCUGCCUAAAUAACCCAGAAAACCACCAGAAGACUAGCAAAAUGGAUUUUCUGGAGCCAAGCGUAGACGAGAAGCCCACGGAAGAGGGUAGGAAGGGCAGAGAGGCGGUGCGUGCUACACAGACUGGUGGGAGGGAGCCGGGGCAGUGGAGCGACAGCCAGCCCACCCGGCAAGGCAGAGCCCCUGAGUCUGGCUUGCAAAAACGGAGGGGCCUGACAGAGUGUGUUCUGACAGCCAGAGGGACUUAACAUCUGGAAUGUUAUAAAUCAAAAGCUCUGCUCCGAGAGCGGGAGGGCUAGAGGACAACGGGAGGGAGAGUUGUUGAGCCCCACAGGACAGAGCUCAGUUUGGCAGGGAACAAAGGCACUCACCAGCACAAUGUCCCUCGCCCAUCCUCCAGCCAAAAUCCCAAAGGGAACCAGUUCCCAUCACGGAACUUGCUUGCACCAUGCAAACACCCAACGAUGUGCUUCUGUGGAUCCAUUCCUCCAACAGGUCUGCCUCCCUCCCAGUGCCACAGGGCCCCUCCAGAAGCGGACCACCGAAGGCAAAGCAAGCUGAGUCUGCCCCUCCCACCCCCAACCACCUUGCAGAUCCAACCCGGCUAAUAUGCCAGAUCCCAUCAAAGCAGCACCACAAGCCUGGCAGUGUGCAAGGAGCCCACACAGAGGCCACACCACUCCACAGUGAGUCCUGCCCCUGGGAGAGGGGAAGAUAAGGUACACACCAGUCUGACUGUGGCCCCAGCGGUCUGACUGUGGCCCCAGACAUCAGGUCUGACUGCGGCCGCACCCACCAAUGCAAGUUACCCCAGACAGCACAGAGGAAGAGCCCUGCAGUUCCACGCCACUCCACGGACUAUCCAAAAUGACGAAACGGAAGAAUUCUCCUCAAAAGAAACUCCAGGAAGUAGUGACAGUUAACAAACUGAUCAAAAAUGAUUUAAGCAAUGUAACAUAAAAUGAAUUUAAAGUAAUAGUCAUAAAAUUAAUCACUGGGCUUGAAAAAAGUAUAGAGGACAGCAGAGAAUCUAUUACUACAGCGAUCAAGGAACAAAGAAACAGUCAGGAGGAGCUAAAAAAUGCUAUAUAUGAGCUGCAAAAUAAAAUGGAGGCGACCACAGCUUGGAUUGAAGAGGCAGAGGAGAGAAUAGGUGAAUUAGAAGAUAAUUAUGGAAAAAGAGGAAGCUGAGAAAAAGAG